GGGAGCUCCAUUUACAACGCUAUUAUUGAGGAAUCAUUCACCAUGUUUGUGGUAAAGGAUCAAGAAAUGGCGCACAGCGGAGGACGGGAACCGACUAAAAAUAAUUUAUCAUGACCCAUUUUGGGGGAAUUUAAAGCAAAAACAGGAAGGAUAACGUAGCCAAGGAGGAGGAUGAGGGGAAGCAAGGGCAAAGGUUGUUGUAGGGUUGGAUCAAUUAAAGGAGCAGGAGCAACAACAGAAAAAAGGGCUAAGAGUUUAGUUUGGUACAUAUACAAUGUGUAUACCUCUGUUGGGAGUCAGCUUGUAUUUGAAGCGCUUCAACAACACCGACAUUAAGAAGAAUAGCCUCUUACCACAUCCACAAAGUUGUUUGGUACAAGCAUGGCUUGAGAUUGCAUACCUCUUUAGAACUUACUUUGUAUGAAGAUUCCGAGCACCUGGAGGGAGGAAAUGCCCCCAAAAGAUAAAAAUUAUAUUUUUUCUUCAGUGUUUGCCAGAUCUUAUUUGAGGGGCGAUGAAUUAAUGUCAGAUGUUUUCUUGUGCUUCAAGUUUUCGCUUUAUUGGGGAAUAACUUCAGUUUUUGGUUGAAUACGAUGAAAUUGAACACGUUUUCUUAAAAUCUCUGCGUGUCAAUGGUGGAUUCAAGGAUAAGGGCCGACAUAUUGGUGUUAUUUAAUGUAAUGGAAAAGAAAUACGAUUGCAGUCAAGGUUGGAGAUAAUCUAA